rnacentral:lncRNA from 1 species
AAAUAUAGAACAGGUUAGUUUGAUAACCAAAGAUGAGGAUAAAACAAGUGCCUCGAAUAAUAAUCCCACAUUUUCUGUCAAAGAAAGACUGCAAGAUUGGAAGAUUAAACAAAAUCAAUGAAAAUUUGGGUCUUCAAAAUAUUUGGCAAGUUAGAAUCAAAUAUGAUUUUAUUUCCAAAUAAGAUGACAUUUUUAUUGAUGAAAUUAAAAAACUAGUAUGUUUUUAUUAAAUUAGUGUCAUUAGAAAACAUAUCAUGAUAUUCAA